ensembl:lncRNA
ACAAGAGAAGGCUCUUUGGAUACCUUCUAACAGCUUUCCAGUACCUAAAGAAAUCCUAAAGAAAGCUGGCUACUCCUGAGAUGCAGUGUCUCAGCCUUGCAUGGAGACCCCAGCUUCUCUGAUUUGGAUAAGCCUGCUACAGCUGCGUCAGAUGUGCCGUUAUUAUGGACAACCCAAGGAGAACUGAACAGCAUAUAUGUAUGGACUCUGCAAAAAAUUUGCACGCUCUUUUCCCUUUUUAUGUUUUCUUUCUGCCUGUAAUUGACUGAGAAUAUGCAACUCCAGCCCUGCUGCCAAUGGGGU